rnacentral:rRNA from 1 species
CAGCAGUGGGGAAUAUUGCACAAUGGGCGGAAGCCUGAUGCAGCAACGCCGCGUGCGGGAUGACGGCCUUCGGGUUGUAAACCGCUUUCGCCUGUGACGAAGCGUGAGCGACGGUAAUGGGUAAAGAAGCACCGGCUAACUACGUG